rnacentral:rRNA from 1 species
GACGAACGCUGGCGGCGUGCCUAACACAUGCAAGUCGAGCGGAGGUACUGAAGGAGUAAUCUGGAAGUACUUUAGCGGCGGACGGGUGAGUAACGCGUGAGCUACCUACCUUACACAGGGGGAUAACGGAGGGAAACCUUCACUAAUACCGCAUAAGACCACAGCACCGCAUGGUGCGGAGGUCAAAGGAGCAAUCCGGUGGAAGAUGGGCUCGCGUCCUAUUAGAUAGUUGGUGGGGUAACGGCCCACCAAGUCAACGAUGGGUAGCCGACCUGAGAGGGUGAUCGGCCACAUUGGAACUGAGACACGGCCCAGACACCUACGGGAGGCUG